AGCAUAUCAAUAAGCGGAGGAAAAGAAACUAACAAGGAUUCCCCUAGUAACUGCGAGUGAAGCGGGAAAAGCUCAAAUUUAAAAUCUGGCAGUCUUUGGCUGUCCGAGUUGUAAUCUAGAGAAGUGUUAUCCGUGCUGGACCGUGUACAAGUCUCCUGGAAUGGAGCGUCAUAGAGGGUGAGAAUCCCGUCUUUGACACGGACUGCCAGGACUUUGUGAUGCGCUCUCAAAGAGUCGAGUUGUUUGGGAAUGCAGCUCAAAAUGGGUGGUAAAUUCCAUCUAAAGCUAAAUAUUGGCGAGAGACCGAUAGCGAACAAGUACCGUGAGGGAAAGAUGAAAAGAACUUUGGAAAGAGAGUUAAACAGUACGUGAAAUUGCUGAAAGGGAAACGCUUGAAGUCAGUCACGUUGUCCAGGGAUCAACCUUGCUUUUGCUUGGUGCAUUUUCUGGUUGACGGGUCAGCAUCAAUUUUGACUAUUGGAAAAAGAUUAGGGGAAUGUGGCAUCUUCGGAUGUGUUAUAGCCCUUGGUUGUAUACAAUGGUUGGGAUUGAGGAACUCAGCACGCCGCAAGGCCGGGUUUUUAACCACGUACGUGCUUAGGAUGCUGGCAUAAUGGCUUUAAUCGACCCGUCUUGAAACACGGACCAAGGAGUCUAACAUGCCUGCGAGUGUUUGGGUGGAAAACCCGAGCGCGCAAUGAAAGUGAAAGUUGAGAUCCCUGUCGUGGGGAGCAUCGACGCCCGGACCAGACCUUUUGUGACGGUUCCGCGGUAGAGCAUGUAUGUUGGGACCCGAAAGAUGGUGAACUAUGCCUGAAUAGGGUGAAGCCAGAGGAAACUCUGGUGGAGGCUCGUAGCGAUUCUGACGUGCAAAUCGAUCGUCAAAUUUGGGUAUAGGGGCGAAAGACUAAUCGAACCAUCUAGUAGCUGGUUCCUGC
rnacentral:rRNA from 1 species